AAUGGGGGAAACCCUGAUGCAGCAACGCCGCGUGAAGGAAGAAGGCCCUUGGGUCGUAAACUUCUUUUCUAAGGGAAGAUAAUGACGGUACCUUAGGAACAAGUCCCGGCUAACUACGUGCCAGCAGCCGCGGUAAUACGUAGGGGGCGAGCGUUAUCCGGAAUUAUUGGGCGUAAAGAGUACGUAGGUGGUUUCCUAAGCAUGGGGUUUAAGGCAAUGGCUCAACUGUUGUUCGCCCUAUGAACUGGGUUACUUGAGUGCUGGAGGGGAAAGCGGAAUUCCUAGUGUAGCGGUGAAAUGCGUAGAUAUUAGGAGGAACACCAGUGGCGAAGGCGGCUUUCUGGACAGUAACUGACACUGAGGUACGAAAGUGUGGGGAGCAAA
rnacentral:rRNA from 1 species